CGCCAGGGAUUUGUUUCAUUCAAAUUUCUAAUUUCUUCUUUCUUUCUAACAUCAUCUCUCUAUUAUCUAAUUAGUCUCUUCCUUCUCUUAUUAUGAUAAGUCUAAAAAUAGUAAGGAUAAGUCCGAUUUUUGGAUAAGAGCCUAGGAAGAGAUAUAAGGAAGACAAGAAGAGAAGAAAGGUAGGGAUAGGAAGUCUAGGAGGAGAGAAAAAAGGUCUUGAGAUCCUACUAUUCAAAAAAAUUUUCAGAGUAAGAAUUUUGGAGGAGGAAUCAUCUUAAGAAGUUGG
rnacentral:lncRNA from 1 species